rnacentral:rRNA from 1 species
GACGAACGCUGGCGGCGUGCUUAACACAUGCAAGUCGAACGCUGAAGACCUGGCUUUUGUUGGGUUGGAUGAGUGGCGAACGGGUGAGUAACACGUGAGUAACCUGCCCUCUUCUUUGGGAUAACGCCCGGAAACGGGUGCUAAUACUGGAUAUUCACUGAUCUUCGCAUGGGGGUUGGUGGAAAGGUUUGUUCUGGUGGGGGAUGGGCUCGCGGCCUAUCAGCUUGUUGGUGGGGUGAUGGCCUACCAAGGCUUUGACGGGUAGCCGGCCUGAGAGGGUGACCGGGCACAUUGGGACUGAGAUACGGCCCAGACUCCUACGGGAGGCAGCAGUGGGGAAUAUUGCACAAUGGGCGAAAGCCGGAUGCAGCGACGCCGCGUGAGGGAUGGAGGCCUUCGGGUUGUAAACCUCUUUCGCUCAUGGUCAAGCCGCAACUGUGGGUUGUGGUGAGGGUAGUGGGUAAAGAAGCGCCGGCUAACUACGUG